GACGUAGGAUGCAAGCGUUGUCCGGAUUAUUGGCGUAAAGAGUUCGUAGGUGGUUUGUUAAGUCUGAUGUUAAAGACUGGGGCUCAACCUCGAAAUGCAUUGGAUACUGGCAGACUUGAGUGCAGUAGAGGCAAGCGGAAAUUCCAGGUGUACGCGGUGAAAAUGCGUAGAUAUCUGGAAGAACACCGGUGGCGCAAGCGGGCUUGACUGGGGCUGUAA
rnacentral:rRNA from 1 species